GGCCCUAUGGGGCGCAGCAGGCGAGAAAACUUUGCAAUGUGCGAAAGCACGACAAGGUUAAUCCGAGUGGUUUCUGCUAAAGGAACCUUUUGUUAGUCGUAGAAUCACUGAUGAAUAAGGGGUGGGCAAGUUCUGGUGUCAGCCGCCGCGGUAAAACCAGCACCUCAAGUGGUCAGGAUGAUUAUUGGGCCUAAAGCAUCCGUAGCCGGCUCUGUAAGUUUUCGGUUAAAUCUGUACGCUUAACGUACAGGCUGCCGGGAAUACUGCAGAGCUAGGGAGUGGGAGAGGUAGACGGUACUCGGUAGGAAGGGGUAAAAUCCUUUGAUCUAUUGAUGACCACCUGUGGCGAAGGCGGUCUACCAGAACACGUCCGACGGUGAGGGAUGAAAGCUGGGGGAGCAAACCGGAUUAGAUACCCGGGUAGUCCCAGCUGUAAACUAUGCAAACUCAAUGAUGCAUUGGCUUGUGGCUAAUGCAGUGUUGCAGGGAAGCCGUUAAGUUUGCCGCCUGGGAAGUACGUACGCAAGUAUGAAACUUAAAGGAAUUGGCGGGGGAGCAC
rnacentral:rRNA from 1 species